rnacentral:rRNA from 1 species
AUGCAUUGGUUCCCAUGGUGGAAAAUAUGUGUACCAAAGAAAAGGGGUGGCAUGGGGUUUAGAGACCUUCAUAGCUUUAAUCUUGCUAUGUUAGCAAAGCAAUGUUGGCGACUACUCCUAACCCCCAAUUCAUCGUGUGCAUGAGUUUUGAGUGCAAAAUAUUACCCCAAUGGAGAUAUCUUGAAAACUGGUCCAAAGAAAGGAGCAUCGUUUACCUUGCAAAGUAUUGUAGCAGGAAUUCAAACUUUUAAGAGGGGUUGUAUCUGGCGUGUAGGCUCCGGUUCACAUAUCAAUUUGUGGGAAGAUCCAUGGAUACCCUCAAGUGCGAGGAAGCUAAUUACACCUAGAGGUGCCAUCAUGCUAACAAGAGUAGAGGAGAUAAUUGACCCCCACACGGGACACUGGGAUGAGGAACUUAUUCGGAAUGUACUCUCACUUGUCGAUGCACAUAGAAUACUGCAAAUCCCUCUUAAUGUGGAAGCAGUGGAAGACUUUGUAGCGUGGCACCAUACAAGGUCCGGAACCUUUUUAGUGCGAUCGGCAUAUCAUAUCGAGUUUGAGCAUCAGUCCGGACGCCACUUAAACCGGACCUGUCCAGGUAGUGAUAAUGCAAACGGAGUAUGGAAAGAUCUAUGGAAACUUCGGCUCCCGGGGAAAGUUAAGCACUUUGGGUGGAAAGUUUUGAAGGGGGUGUUGCCUUGCUAUGGGGUUUUGGCCAGUAGACAUAUACCUCUGGUCCCGCAAUGUCCUCUCUGUAGUAUUGGAAUUGAGGAUAUUCAGCAUUGCUUGUUUACAUGUACUCGGGCAUAUUCAAUCUUGGAAGGAGUUGGGAUUAUCGACAGCGAUAGAUAA